rnacentral:misc_RNA from 1 species
UUGCCAAUGACCCGAGUCGGAGGUACCUUUUAGAACCCACCCCCCUAAGGUGGAAUAAAUAAUUGGGGUGAAUUCUUACCAAGGUACCCUUAUCGAAAGGUGCGGCGGGAUCACCUCCUUUCUAAGGAUAAAGAAACCUGCCAUUAUGCGUCUUGUCUAAUUUUCAGAGGCCUUGGGAGCCCUUAUAUCUUCUGAGAAACCGCCUGCUUUGCACGCAUGAUGUCAAACUGUUCGAUCCCGCUAGGCUCCUUUGAAUCAAAAGAUUCGAAUUGUUCAUUGAAAAUUGAAUAUCUAUAUCAAAUUCCACAAUCUACAAAUAGAUUGUACAAAGUAACAAGAAAAUAAACCGAAAACGCUGUGAAUAUUUAAUGACUUUUCUAAUUUUAAAGAAACUAUUUUAAUAAAGUUAACUUAAUAAGGGCACACGGUGGAUGCCUUGGCACUAUAACCCGAACAAGGACCUGACUAACGACGAAAUGCUAUUGCGGGAGCUGUAAGUAAGCGCAUGAUCCAGAGAUGUCCGAAUGGGGGAACCCACUAGUUAAUGACUAGUAUCCAUAUCUGUUAAGGAUAUGAGAAGGAAGACGCAGUGAACUGAAACAUCAAAGGUACCAAAA